rnacentral:lncRNA from 1 species
GGGGGUAAGUGGAGCAGCCCAGCAGGGGUCUCCCUCCUAAGCUAGAUCUUAGCCAUUGUGGUGGGUGUGGGAAGGGAUCUGGAGGGACAAGAGAAGGGGACUCCUUACCAACACAUUCAUAAUUUACAGAGGGUGCAGUAGCUGCCUUCAUAUGCACAGGAGGGGGUCUGCCUCCAAAGAAACCUCCAGGUCAUGGCCUCCCUCAGCCACAUGAUUUGGAAAACCUUGGAAACAAUUAAUAUAACAGAAGGUCCAGUGGAGUUCUUCAUCUGCACAGCAGGGGGUCCUCCUCCCAAGACACUCCAGGACAUGGUGAGUGGUUUCUUAAUAGAACUAAAGGCAGCCCUCCCUAAAAGACCAGAUCAAAUGACAAGCAAGGGGAGGCACUUAGGGAAAUACUGGGGCUCCUUCCUAGGGAAACAGAAUUGGGAAAGGGAGAGUUGGAGAGAAAUACUUACUGCACUCUAGGGGGUACUUCCAUCACAUACCAAUUCUCACAAACACUGUGCGUUCCAGAGAACCCCAGCUGGAAAUCCUCCACAAAUGUCUUUAUAGACCUUUGUCAGAAUAUAUCAAUUACAAAUAUGGGGAAAUCUGAUGUACAACAGCAGGGGGUCCUUGAGAGUAAGCCACUUCUUAUCUAGAAUUUGAGUGUCCAGAACAUCACAGCUCAAAAUGUUCCCUAUAUUCUUCUGCAUAGGCCUCCCUCAGUCACAUGGAUUGGAAAACCUUGGAAACAAUUAAUAUAAGAGGUAAUUUGCCAUAGUCAAAGAAAUUCACUGACACUUGGCUUGAGGAAGGGGGUAAGUGAAGCAGCCCAGCAGGGGUCUCCCACUAAGCUAGA